rnacentral:lncRNA from 1 species
GAUGAGAACUUAGUGUGUAAUCUGUCAUACCGGGCUGAAAGUCAAGUGCUGGCAUCAACUUAGCGUGAGCUAGGUUGGUGUCUCUAGGUUCACACGAGGGCACUGUAUCCUUCGCAAGAGGGAGCAUCCUCGGCAGUUGAGUCUUACGCGUUAGGCUCUAACUCUACACGAGGACAGCUGGCACCUAGAGAGAAAGACAUCAGCUAGACAUUCAAAAUGCAUUCUGACAUGGCGAGGGAGUCUGGACUAGUUUUUCGUCUGAAGAAAGAUUGAUAUGGUUUGAAGCAAUCUCCUCGGGCAUGAUUUGGUAGAUUCAGUGAGGUGAUUAUUGAUUUUAGUCUUCGUAGAUGUGGAGUUGACCACUCUGUUUUCUAUCGC